AUGGCUUCCAAACAGAUGGUGCAUAUGAAUCAAGGACAAGGCGAAACUAGCUACGCUCACAACUCCAGUUUUCAGAGUGCUGAGCAGAACAGGAUGAAGCCACUGAUAGAUGCAGCGGUCGUUGAAUUAUGCAGCAACACCACCACCAUGUCGCACGGGAAGAUGGUGAUUGCGGACUUGGGCUGCUCCUGUGGCCCAAACGCGGUAGCACUGGUGUCCAUCGCCCUCGAGGCCACCCGCAGCCACUUUCUCCGGUUGCGGCAGCCACAUCCGGAAGUCUGUGUACUCCUCAAUGAUCUCCCAUACAAUGACUUCAACACGGUGGUGAAAAGCCUGGUUGCGGUCCGGCAAAUCGGCGAGCCUCUUGUUGUAACUGGUAUAGUGCCAGGGUCAUUCUAUGAGAGGCUCUUCCCUAGUGGCUCCGUGCAUCUUUUCUGCUCAUCCAACAGCCUUCAUUGGCUCUCAAAGGCUCCUGAAGAUUUAAGGAUAAACCAAAUCCCGGCGUAUGACAUCGAUGAGAAUGUCAGGCGUGAAAGACUCCCAGUGGUUGCUGGAGCUUAUGCACGGCAAUUCAGGAAAGAUUUCACACUUUUCCUGCAGCUGAGAGGCCAAGAAUUGGUCCCAGAAGGCCGGAUGGUUGUUUCGCUCCCGGGGAGGCGUUCUGAUGAGCCCGUCACCGAGAGUUCUCUCAUCUGGGGAACUGCAGCUCAGAUUUUAGGCGCCAUGGCCUCGGAGGGUGUGAUUGACAAGGAAAGGCUUGAUUCUUUGUACAUACCGGUGCAUGGACCUUCGGAUGAAGAGCUGAGAGAGAUCAUCCAAGAAGAGGGCUCCUUUUCAAUCUCUGAGAUGCGGGUGCACGACCCUAUAAGCGGCAUGGACCGCGCGCUCCUCACCCCAAACAGGAUGGUGAAUAGCCUGAGAGCUGCUUUCGAGCCAAUAAUAGUCCAGCAUUUUGGAUCGCCAGGAGAGAUCAUGGACGAAUUCGUGAGGACCGGCGAGGAGCACUUGAGCCUGCAGCGCAGGUCACAAGUUAAGCAUGCCAGAAACCCGAGAGUUAUGCUGGUUGUAUCACUCACCAAGGCAUGA
rnacentral:rRNA from 1 species